CCAGUUCAGGUCUUGGAGAAAGUCGCCCGACAUGAAGAGAUCCUUGGGUGAAGAGCUCGACCGC
rnacentral:RNase_MRP_RNA from 15 species